GCCGAAAUAGCUCAGUUGGUAGAGCAACGCAUUCGUAAUGCGUGGGUCGAGGGUUCGAGUCCCUUUUUCGGCUUCA
rnacentral:tRNA from 12 species